rnacentral:rRNA from 1 species
UAGGGAAUCUUCGGCAAUGGACGGAAGUCUGACCGAGCAACGCCGCGUGAGUGAAGAAGGUUUUCGGAUCGUAAAGCUCUGUUGUAAGAGAAGAACGAGUGUGAGAGUGGAAAGUUCACACUGUGACGGUAUCUUACCAGAAAGGGACGGCUAACUACGUGCCAGCAGCCGCGGUAAUACGUAGGUCCCGAGCGUUGUCCGGAUUUAUUAGGCGUAAAGCGAGCGCAGGCGGUUAGAUAAGUCUGAAGUUAAAGGCUGUGGCUUAACCAUAGUACGCUUUGGAAACUGUUUAACUUGAGUGCAAGAGGGGAGAGUGGAAUUCCAUGUGUAGCGGUGAAAUGCGUAGAUAUAUGGAGGAACACCGGUGGCGAAAGCGGCUCUCUGGCUUGUAACUGACGCUGAGGCUCGAAAGCGUGGGGAGCAAACAGGAUUAGAUACCCUGGUAGUCCACGCCGUAAACGAUGAGUGCUAGGUGUUAGACCCUUUCCGGGGUUUAGUGCCGCAGCUAACGCAUUAAGCACUCCGCCUGGGGAGUACGACCGCAAGGUUG